CNUGUAGUAACCUGCUCAUGAACUUUAAAUAGCCGCGGAAAUUUAACCGUGCUAAGGUAGCAUAAUCAUUAGCCUCUUAAUUAGGGGCCAGUAUGAAAGGUAAAACAUUUCAAUUUCUUUAUUAACUAAAUUUUUUUAACUUAAAUUAAGAAUAAAAAUGUUCUUAUAUAUAAAAUAGACGACAAGACCCUUUUGAACUUUACUUUUGUUUAGCUGGGGCAGCUAAAAAAUAAUUAUCUUUUUACCUUUUUUUAUUUAAAUGAUCCAGUAAAACUGAUUAAUGAACAAGUUACCAUAGGGAUAACAGCGUAAUAUUUUUUAAAAGCUCUUAUUUAAAAAAAUGAUUACGACCUCGAUGUUGAAUUAGUGUAACUUUACGAUGCAGUAAUUUUAAAAGUAGGUCUGUUCGACCUUUAAAACACUACAUGAUCUGAGUCAAAACCCGGAGAA
rnacentral:rRNA from 1 species